CUGUAUUUUGACAUAGGAUUUCCAGCUGAGCCUGGAAUUAAUGAAUUUGCCAAGACUAGCUGGCCAACCAUUUCUGGUCCCACUAUUUCCCCGGAGCUAGGCUUACAGAUAGGUGCCAUCCAGCCUGGUCUUUUCGUGGGUACUGGAAAUUUGAACUCAGACCCCCAUGCUUGUACAUCACUUUAUUGCCACCGUCUAUCCCCUCAGUCUGGAGCCUGAACGUCUUCUGUGGAGUCUGGACCUCUAGGGAGUUACAAAGGUUCACUCAUCAAGCAUUUUCUCAGUAUGAAGAUACAGUUCACUAUGUCUGGAAGGCAAGACAGCAGGAACAUGAGGGAGCUGUUCACACUGCAUCUGCAGUCAGGAAGCCGAGAGAGAGCAGGGAAUGCUGGUCCUCAGCUACCUCACUCCUCUUUCCACUUGUUCAGCACAAGAUCCCAGCCCAUGAGAUGCUGCCACUCAUGUUCGGGUUCAUGGGGUCAUCCACACAUUUAAUCCUGGCUCUUGAGGGAUGAGGGCGUAGAGGCAGGAUGAUCAUCCUCAACAACUCGAUGAAUUCAGCUGUAUACCUAACUUGAGGAUUCGGGUCUUCAGAUGGCACAAACAGGAAGAUGGGUAGAAAUAUGGGCACACUGUGGAUUCAUGAGCAACUACAUUGCGGGAAACCUGUGAAAAGUGUGUCUUGGUGGUUCUAGUUUACUCAUUAAUAUAAUAAACAAACUGUGGGCUGAAUGUAAGAAAGGGGAAGGAGAUGCUGGGGGCUUCAGCUGAGGAGACUGAGUGACCAUGCACUUAUAGGAUUGUCUAGCAGUCUGAGUGGCCCACUGCAGAUGUGUGACUAUUGGUGAUAAGGAUACCAGGCAGCUCCCCACUCCCAUUGAGACAGGGUCCUGCUAUGUAGCUGAAGACAAUCUGGAAAUCACUAUGUAGCCAAGGCUCACAGGGAUCCUCCUGC
rnacentral:lncRNA from 1 species